CUGUUGUCUCCGUUUGGUGGGCGUGUAUUUGAAUGGGUCGUUGCACGCCCUAAUGCCUUGCCUCUAAUCACGCGCCAUGGAUUUGCAUCUGACCUGUUGUAACCAUGGCUAUACUAGACUACCAUUCGUUCACUCUGAUCGUGCUCGCUGAUUGAAAGGUUUUGAUGUUUCUCUCUAAUGAUUAUUCUUAAUUAGGUUGAUGCCUUCUGGUGAUAGUACCGGAUCCAUCGUCUGAAUCGCUCACGCCUGAUGAAGGUCGAAACCGAAUAAAAAUCAGCUUUUCUGGUUCGAGCCCAAUUGUUCAUUUAAAGCCGGUCCGGUCAUUCGCCGUCGGGUGCAAGAGGAUGCGUCAACCGCAAACGAACAACCGCCUUCCACAGGGUGUGCUUCGAAUGUCGGCCUGGACGAAAAAAAAAAAAAAAAAAGGCAUAUCCGGUAACAGUAUUAGGCUCUCCAAUGUCUGCUCUGCAGUUUAUUCGAACUGUACUGCAAGUUCCCACCUCUUCCGCGACACAUGCUUGGCCAGGAAAUCUUAGACAUUAGCGUAUCUCUUGAUCCAGCUGCG